rnacentral:lncRNA from 1 species
AUUUGGAAUAGUUUUAUAUAUAUACGAUACUAUAGCACUAAACAUCUUAACCCGGUUAUAUCAUUUUGGAUAAUGGUUAGUCUCAAGACGUUAAAAGGAUUAAGCAUUCUAGAGUUAGGGUGUGUUUGGUUCGCCUAUUAUUCACCUUGGAAUCGGAAUCGGAAUGGACGAAUCUGUUUGUCCGUGUUUAGCAUACAAGAUUCCCAUUCCAAUUUCGAUUCCCAGGUGAAUGAGAAUCUCCCCAAUUACCCCAUUUUUCAAUCCGGCCUUGGAGGCCGGAUUGGAAAUUGAAUCUGGACAUAAUGAAUUUGUUCAGAUUAAAUUUAACUUUUUAAGCUUAUUUUUUAAUUAAAAACAUAAGUUUAAGUUUAAAAAUUAUAUUUAUAAAUUUAGAUUUUAAUUUAAACUUAAAUUAAAAAUUAAAAUUCAAUUGAGCAUUUCGAAUCUAAUUUAUAAAUUAAUUUAAAAUCUAAAAUUUUAUUCAAAUUUAAUUUCAAAUUUAAAUUAAAUUUAUGGUUUCAAAUUGAAAUUAAAAUUAUAAUUUUAAGUUUGAAUUUGAAUAAAUCAAAAUUUAGUUUUAUAUUUUGAAUUACCCAUUCAAUUUCAAAUUUUAAUUUUUCAAAAAAUUAUAUUUAAAACUUUGACAUCAUUUUAAAAUUUUGACCUAUAUUUUUAAUAUUUAAUUUUCGAUUUGAAUUUAAACUAAUAUAUUAUAAAGAUAAAAUUGUCAUAUUAAUUUGAUUACGUUUCUAGUAUCUAUCUGAACCAAACACCGACAAUGGAAUUGGUUCAUUCUGAUUCCGAUUCAGGUUGCGAACCAAACAGAAUGAGGUAAUGAAUCAUUUCGAUUCCGUUUUCAGCUUAUUCUCAUUCCAAUUCCAAUUCCGAUCUGACUUCGAACCAAACACACCCUUAGAGUAGUUCUAGGAUAGGUGACCUUCCUAGGAAGUGGGGCAUCAAAGUUGGUAUCAGAGCCAAUAACCAGCCGGAAGUCUGAGAUAGUUUCGGCUGAGUCACGAUCUAAUUGAUAGGCUAAGCCAAAGUCUGAAAAUAAUCGGUUAAGUCAGGAUCUGAAUGACAAGUUUAGCGAGACGAGUCUCACAUUGCCUGUUACUUAUGAGUGUGUUUGAGUCUGACGAGAAUGCCAGGUAAUAAAGAAGGAAGGAAUGUGACAUUUCUAGAAUUUAAAAUAAUUCUAUAUGUAAGACAUAAUUGGGCUAAACAUCUUAAUCCGACUAUAACAUCUUGAGUAGUGGUUAGGCCCAAAAAGUUAAGAGUGUUUAGCGUUUUAGGAAUAGAGUAGUUUUAGAAUGGGUGACCCUUCUGGGAAGCGAGAUGCCCCACCAUGGAUUAGGUUUAUGUCACGUAUCCUUGCCCUUUCGGGUUAAGGAUAUUAGUUGCGGAUUAAUAUGUAGGUUUUAAGUAAUCACAUUGGGUCUAUGCCGCAUGCUAGUAGAGCAUAGCCUAUAUAAUACAGAGAGUAUCUCCACCCAAUAGCCUGCACUUUUGGAUUAGGUUAUCUCCCUUUGAAUGCAGGAAUAUCUUAUUCGGUAAAUCUUUUUGAUUUACUCUAGAAGCAUAUAAUGCUUGGAAGAUAAGGAGUGUGACCAAAUGCCUAGAAUGGAUACCAUAUUCGACCUUUUAAGUCAAUUUUGUUGGAAUAUUACUUCACAGUUAAAAUAUAUUAUUCUAUUAAAUCAUAGAUAUCAAUACCUUUUACGCCAUUGUUUGCAUACAUGAAUAUCUUAUUCCGAAUAUACCUUUGAUUUAUUCAAGAAGUUGUAGUAUUUGGUAGAUGAGAAAUAGAAAUUUCUUAUUAAUAGCCUUAGAAAAUACUAUAAUUAUAAAAAUAGUCCUCUAAAAAAUUUAUUUACAAAACUAGGUCUAUACGGUAAAUGAAUUACCACAUUUUAAAUGUGGUAAAUCAUUUACCGCUUUCUUCAAAGGAUUAAAACCAUUAUUAGUCUUUAAUAUUAUACAUUUUUUGAAGUUUGGAUGUAGGAAAUAUAUAAAUUAAGAUAAAAGUGGUGAAUCAUUCACUGCUUUUAGAAAGCGGUAUAUGAUUCACCCCUUUUAUCAGCCUAUUUUUACAAAUAAAAAUUAUGAAUGCCUAUUUUUAUAUUUAAAAGAUUUUGUAGGCUUAGUAACCCAAAAGCUCCUGAGAAAUAUGAUCAAACGUUUAGAAUAAUAUAUUCCACUUUCUAAUUAAUUUUUCAAAAAUAAGAUAAAUUACUUUGUAUAUGAAAUAUGUUAUCCUACCAAAUCAUGAAAGACAAGAAGUUUCAGAAGCAAAAAUCAAGCUUUGUUCAUCCAAUAACAAAAAAAAACCCUGCUUAAUAAGUUAUUCAAGGAUAAUUUAUUCCAAUAUCCAAAUAGAGCCUUCAGGAUAAAGAAUUAAGCUCGUAGCUUUCAAUUGCACAAGAAAAUCUUAAUACAGGAUAGGCUAUCAUUUAAUAUCUUAUCCCGACAACCAAACAGAACCUUAGAAAGUAUCAAAGCAUCUUUUAGAUAACUCAGUAUGAAAGCUAGUAUUCAGCCUCUUGAUAUCAUAAGUUUCAUUUAAUUAAUGACAUAAAUAAGUAAAUAAUUUAUUGAUGAAAGUGUUAAAGUACUAUUACUAGACAUUUGAUUUUUUUUUUUUUAAUAGAUAAUAGUAGGAAGCCUCUCUCUCGUCUAGCAUUGUGUUUAAUACUUAUACCAUUAUGAUAGAGGUAUGUGUUAAUUACAUACUGAAAGAGUGAACUAUUUAGUUAGCUUCUUAUUUAGUUAGCUUCUUAGAUAUUUUCCCUUUUGGUAUCUUGUGGUUGUUCUUGGGUCUGAAACGGAAGUGGGUGUGAAUUUAUUCUCGACUAAUGGUCUUACUAGAAUGAUGAAUGUUAGUUUUUUUUAUUCCUUUAAAGAGAGAAAAAAGUAGCAAACUAUUUGCUUCGGUUAUUUUUUAGAAUUGAACUUAUUUGAAAAUGUGAAGCAACUAGGCUUCGAACUUGGGAUCUCGGUGACCAACCAUUAAGCCUUUAGCUAACUACGCUAGGUACGAGCAGUGAAUGUUGUUGGCUUAAAUGGGCCAGAAUCCUAUCAUGUGGCGGGAGGCCAUAUUGGCCGAGUCAUAUUCAAAAUGGCGUGAGACUGGAUGGGCCGUGUCAUAUUCGAAGUAGCAUGAGGCUGGUUGGGCCGAGUCACAAUCGAGAUCCGUGGGGCGUUGUAUCUGUGCUCUUUAAUUGAAUUGGUUGCGUAUUUUUAACAGCUCAAGCUUUUGGGAUUAAUGGUUAGCGCCAACGAUUCGACAAAUGUUAGGUUAUUUUGAUAAUAGUUUCUGUAAAAUGAAGAGGAGGGUGCUUGGUUGCUUUGUGGGUGAAGCAAAAUGGUUUGCGGGAGCACUUGUGUUAAACAACUUAAAAAGUGACCGAGCUAAGAUCUGGAGUGCACAAAUUCAUGUACAAUAAUUUUACCAACGAAUCCUAUUUGAACCUGUAUUGUCCGACCAGAAUUUUUGCCAGUGGUUUAAUUAAAGAAGCACCAAUAGCUUUUUCUCAUUAAAACUCUAAAAGCAUAUUUUAGUUGCAGGAGGAGAAGAAACUUUUUGUAGGUUCAAUGUUCGAAAGCUGGAAGUUCACAUGUUGUUGCAACAAAAACUUAAGACCUUUUGUUUGUCAAGCAUUUGGCUAUCUGAAUAAGUUGAAUAUAUUUUGUCACGUUUGAAAUUAUGGCCUCUUAUAGUUUGUAUGCGUCGUUAUGGAUUACUGGGCUCUGUUUUCCGUUAAGUAGACCCAACAUUCUUUUAUAGAACUAAGUUGUGUGCCAAAUAUUAUUCAAAUCAGAUCUAACCUAGAUCCUUAUGAAUCACAAAUUGAGCUUGUGUGACAUGUCCAAAAAUUCUUGCCCUCUUUAGUAUAGUAGUCCUCAAUCAAAAACUUUUGCAUGAAGUGGCUUCUGUAGGACUCAAAGCGGCAAUGUUAUAGUGGAAACCACCAUGACUUACCAUAGCAAACAAUGGCUCUUUAGAAGCUCCUGAGAGAGAGAGAGACGGGGGGAGAGAGUCGAGCUAGAGUAUUACUGUAAUUUUCUUUUGAUGAUCAAAUAUCUGAAUCGAUGGUCAGUUCCAUUAGACAUGAUCUAUACUAUUAGAAAGAGAAUCUAGCUAGAAUAUGAUUGAAAAUUAUUAUCGAUGAUGGAACAUAUGAAUCAACGAUUGGUUCCAUUAAACCUAAUAUGCACUAUUAGAAGUAUCUAAAAACUAAAUUUUAGUUUUUUGACAUUAUUUGCCUAGUAAACAAGUAUUCUCAAAAUUAAUAGGUGAAAAUAAAUAUUGCAUAAAAAAUUUUUAAAAAAAAUUAAAUUUUAUAUCAAAGAUAGUGGUAUUGCUCAAGAUAAUGAAAAAUACAAAGUCUAGUGUCUAGAUUAAUGGGUCCAGUACAAUGGGGAAAUUUGGUGUGAAUGUAUUUAGAUAUAAUGCCUGGCAUCGAUUAAUCAUUCACUACUCUAGUGCUUUGUCUGAUGUGAAUACUUUGAUUUCUUUACUUUUUGUUGAGAGAGACAAAAUACUAUUUCCAACACUAAUAUCUCUUCCAUGUAUGAAAAGGGUAAAUUGCACGUUUGGUCCUCAAACUAUGAGACGUGAUAUUUCAAUCCUCAAACUUUAAUUUAUUGUAAUUUCUGGCUCGGAACUUUCAAAAUUGUUGCAGUCAAGUCUCACAAGCGAAUGUAGUUGACUAAAUUUCAGCGCAUUAUUGAUGUAAAAGUUAUGUGACAUCUUAAUUAUUGACGCAUAAUCAAUCACAAUACUACUACAUCAGCUCUACAUUAGCGAUGUAUCAAAUAUUUAGUUAACUAAAUUAGGUUAUAAGAUUUGAUUGCAACAAUUCAAAAAGUUCUAGCAAAAAAUUACAACAAAUUAAAAUUUGAGGACCAAAGUGUCACUAGCCUCAUAAUUUGAGGACCAAAUGUGCAAUUGAUCCUAAUGAACAAGUCAAGGUAGAGGAAGGAUAAAAUCAUCCUUAAAAAAGUAAUAAAGUGCACUAUUUAAGGCUCGAACAGCAAGCAGCGUUAUAUGAGGAACAUGCAAUUAAAAAUAUGAGUAUGAAUAGCUCAGAAAAUAUGGUGUUCUUGUGAGGUAAAGGCUGUUUAAAACAAUAAAGUUAUUGGAAGUUUGAAACUGAUGCAAGUGUUUGGACCAACAAUCUUGAAGUUCUGCAUUUAGAAAACAAAUUGCUGUUCAUGGAUUGUAUUCCAAGCUAAUUUACUGAGAUCAAGGAAGCUAAUUUAUUGAGAUCAAGAAUGACAUCAAAUUCUUACUCUUCAAUCAGAAACAGAAAGACAUCAGAAUUCUUGUUCUUAUUGACCUAUUGGAUUAUGUAGAUAUGGUAAGGAGUAUGGAACUUAUAUUAAUAGAUAUUCAUGGAAGUUUCCUGCAUCAUAUUGUUUUUUGCAUAACAGAGAUUGGUUUUCUUUUUGUGGGCAUGAUUGACUCUAUUUCCUUUUCGUUGUGUUGCUAGACGCAUUAUGUUUUGUUACUCUGUUCAUUCAAAGAGCAACUUCAACAGCAUGUUCGUGUUCAUGCGAUGGAAGCAGUAAUGGCUUGCUGGGAACUCGAGCAAUCUCUGCAAAAUUUGACAGGUAAUUUCCCGAUCUUGGUUAAACCAAUAGAAGUGAUUUACUUCAUAUCUUUGAUACAUGAAUUCUCCAAUACAAUAGGCGUGUCAACAGCUGAUAUCGUAGUACCUUAGAUUUGUAUGCAUGUUUAAUACUUCCUUUUAUUAGUUUGCUCAGUGGAGAUAUAACCCUCUGAACAAAAUCAGAUACUUUUCUACCGAAAUUUCAAAAAUUCUAUUUUAAGGAGCUUUAAUCUGGAUUCUGUCGCCCCCGUCGUGCGGAACAUAGCUGUUUGCAAAUUCUUGUGCUGGAUGAUUACAAGUUUACAACCUUCCACAGAUACAAUCAAUGCGUGAGCGAAAUCUUCUUAGAAUCAGAUAACUUUAUACAUAUGGAAAUGUACACACUGAAAGCUCUGCAAACUAGUAUUUUAUUUUCAUUUUCUUGCUACGGACUUCAUUGAUUCACUGCUCUUUUCUAUGGGGAAGUUGCCAAUAUCUGUAGUUUCCUUUAUAGUUACAGGUAAAUUUAUAUUUAUGAAAUCUUAUGCGAUAUUGUUUUAACUUAUAUUCUUGGUUCAAUCCAUGCAAUUUUAUUCCGGUUCAAAGCCGAAAUGAUUUGCACAUUUAAUGGUAGGAUGUUGUUAUGUAAGGUUUAGUUAUCCAUUAGAAUCCAAUCUAAACCGGAUUAUGCAUAAAUUAAAGAAAUUCAUGUUUCAAGUUUAUUUAUGAAGUUGAUUAAAUUCGACUGUAUAUUGGUAUGCAAUGCAUCGAAAAAAGAAGGAAAUAUUAUGUGGAUAUGCCACUAUAUUAUCUGUUCAUCUAUUGCCUACUUGCCUUUUAGAGUCCAUGUUUUACCUAUUGUAAUUUCUCUUUUUUCUUUUUAAUGAUGGAUGUCCUUUCUCUCUGAAUGGUUGCUAUAUGUCACUAAAGGAAAUUUUGUCACACUGCAGGUGUCUCUCCUGGUGAAGGCUCAGGUGCUACCAUGUCCGAUGAUGAUGAUGAACAGGCAGAUAGCGAUACCAACCUUUUCGAUCAAGGUUUUGAUGGACCGGAUAGCAUGGGCUUUGGCCCUCUUGUUCCUACGGAGACCGAGCGUUGCUUGAUGGAGCGCGUUAGACAAGAGCUGAAGCAUGAACUGAAGCAGGUAACAGCUCUACAUUCAAUAGCACUUUGUUCAUGCGGAGGCUAUCUAUUAAACUUUGUGGACUUUUCAGGGGUAUAAAGAGAAGAUCGUGGACAUUAGAGAAGAGAUCCUUCGCAAAAGAAGAGCCGGAAAGCUUCCUGGAGAUACCACUUCUGUUCUAAAAGCCUGGUGGCAGGCACACUCUAAAUGGCCCUACCCAACAGUAAGCGAUAAAUAGUUGUCUGCGAAGUUCUUUUGUUGUAUUUUCAUCUAUUGAUUUUUGGCUAAAAUAUUUUAAUAAGUCCCAGAAGUUUAGGAUGAAUCAUAAAAUUUAAAUCCGAAACUUAAUGGAUUGGGUUACCAGAUGCUGUACAUUACGCAUGAUUAAGAACUACAUGAAUGGGAGAAAAAAAAGUGUACAAAAAGUUGCCAACUUAGAUCGAUCUCUGCAUCCUAAUUCAACAUCAUCUUAUAUUUUGACUUGAGAUUAGAGUAUGUUAUCAGGCGGUAGUUGAAAUGAGGAAAGUAUAGGCGUCUAUUUCGAUAAUUUAGCCUUUCAAUUUUCUGUUUGUUGUUCCUUGUAUGUCGUUUUGUGAUAUUACUUCUGCUCUUACCUGUUUCAUUGGCUUUUUCAGGAGGACGACAAAGCAAGGCUGGUGCAGGAAACAGGAUUGCAGCUGAAGCAGAUCAACAAUUGGUUCAUUAAUCAAAGAAAGAGAAAUUGGCACACCAGCCUGUCGUCCUCGACUGCAUCAAAGAGUAAACGCAAAAGGUGACAUCAAACUAGAUACUACAUCUUCAUCUCUUAAUUCCACUUAGAGCUAUUUACCUAUGUAAGAUUGAAAGGGCAGUAGUGCAGGUGAAAACGGCGCUGACCGUGCAAUCUAGAUGGUGAAUUAGGGACAAAAAAGGUGCCGAAGUACAAAAGCUUAUUGCCGUUCGCUGGAUAGAUCAGUAGAGGCUACAAGAAAGGAGAUAAGGAAUUAGUGUGCAUCAAUUACAAGCGACAAUAUGCAGGAAGUUACAAACUUUAUCGAAUUUGAAGAUUAAAGUUUUGCCACUCCAGUGGUGAAACCUAUUGAUUACCACAUUCUUGAGCAAAAGGAUGGAUGUCGAUGUACUGGAUGGCAAUUCAAUGAUCAUGGUGAGUUUUGUUGUGUUUUAGUUGUAGUUAUUAAAUUGAUGCAUAAGUAAAGACGCUUGGACGCUGCGAUUAUAGUUGUUUGUUAGAUAGAUUGGACUCUGUUGCAUUGUUUGCGUCGCAAAUCUUGUAUUAACUAAUAUGUUGUAAUGCUAUUUAUAUGUCAGGUUAGUAAAGUUCUGUUGCCUAUACUCUGAAUUGUACAAAGUUGCAUAGAAAUAGAGUUGUGCUUUGUGAUGUUAAGUUAAAUCUGCAGUAAACAAGUGCUGAGAGAUCUCGUCAGCUUUGAAAUUUUUCACUGGUUUUUGAAUCGGGUUUUGGAUUGUUGGUAUUUAUUUCUGAACUUGUGAUUUAGAAUUUCAUUUUGGCCUGCGGGCUUUCUGGGUGGUCCAAAAUCAAAUAGGCUAUAUCUGAGAGCUUGUGCAUCACUUACUACAUAUUAGCUUAGUCUCACAUGAAAAAUUUAUGACAUGUAGGAGUGCGUUAUAUACUCCAUCUGUAUGUCACUUGCUUAGCUGAUAAUGAGAAUGGUACACCCCACUAAGCACACGCAUGCGCGUGUGGCACAAGCAUGAGCCGGGCCGGGCCGAGCGCAGUCUUCGGCUAUACGGUUCGGUUUACCUGCACUUAAACCUUACCUAUCCCCCUCUAUUUGUUGCCUCCGUAGAGCCGCUGCAACCAAACGUAUAUAGGAAUAAGGUUGUAGGAGGGGAUAUGUACAUCUUCUACUACACUCUCCUCUGAGUUUGAUACUAACCUUCACUGAGCUUUACUCUUCUUUUUAAGAUUUACUCUAUUUUCUGGAUCUCUGAAAGUCUAUUUGGUUCGUGUUGUGCUACGUUGGAAACAUGCAAACGCGGUAGCUCAUGGUCGUUGUAUCGCGAGAAGUGAUCACUGAAUACAUGUAGUGGCAAUCUUGUUUUUAGGACAGUGCCUAACGCAUCUUGACCCACGAGUCUGAUAUGAACAUUUUAUUUUUAUAAAGUAUUUUGCCAUUAAUUCUUGCAUGCGCUUUUUCCAAAGAGUGAUUUAAAUGUUUACAAACCAAAAUAUUUAAAAGGAUUAAUUUCUGCUAAUAGAAUAGACGAUUUUCCAACAGGAUCACCAUCGAUGAGCCGAGAAUUUUCUCCUGAAAGGGUUCCUUUGAUAGAGAAAAUCAACAACCUGAGAUCUUUCUCAACUUGCUGUGGAGAUAGUAUUUGGGUUGCAGAAAUUUGUGCAAUUUUCAUUAUGUGAUCUUGUGCUUGACCGUUGGAGUGCGCGGUUCGAUUUAAUUCGAUAAGAUCACGUUCUUCAAAUUCCUAAAUGAGGUAAUUGUAUACUCGGUUCCUACUCUCACGUUCUUCAAAUUCCUAAAUAAGGUUUUGUGUGUCGCUUCACUUUUUAGGAAGUCAUCUAUUCUAGGACUACUCUAGUCCUAAUACGCUUAACUCUCUCAAUCUCUUAAAUCUAACCGCCAUCCAAAAUAUUAUAGUCAGAUUAAGAGUUUUAGUCCUAUUAUUUUUCGUAUAUGGAACUAUCUAGGUCUCACAUUCCACCUCCCAAGUCUUAACGUACUUGUUAGGCUCGGACUACCGGGGGUCUCAUAUUUUGAAUCUCUUGAUAAUGAUCCACCUUUUAGUCAUUUAUUUGGUAGGCAAAAUAUUUCUACGGAUUGGGCUAACAUGAUCAAUUAGGAGAAAGCAAUAUGAUCUGUAAUUAAUUAAUUGUUUCAUGUUAGGUCUCAUUUGAUCAGUAAUGGGCUUCGUGUCAAUUAUCAGAAAUAAUGAACAAAAAAUAAAUAGAUCAUACUAAAUGCAUGGAGAUUCCCAAUUACAAGAUAACAUCUUGAUGACUACCCGAGAUCAUCCCUAGAGCAAGUGGCAAAGGGCUUGGUGGUUGGUACCCGAGACCCAAGUUCGAAUCAUAGUUGAUUCACAUUUCUAGCUAAGUUUAUUUCUAAAUGAAAUAAACGAAGCGGACAGCGUGCUAUCUAUCUCUCCAAAAAAAAAAAACAUCUUGAUGACUACUACACGGUUUGAUUUUUCAUUAUGAUUGCAGCUUUGUCGUGGUCAGCUUCACUAGUCUUAAUUUGUUCGCUAGUCUUUUCAUUUCAGCCGAGGAGUAUCUAAACCGACAAUCGGCAACGUUCAACAUAAUUUUAGCUAUUUGGAAUUUUUAGGAAUCAAAUUUUAUUUGUUUUCAACAGUAUUUGCCUAGCGAGAGAAAGAUAGCAUGCUAUAUAUUUUAUUUAUUUUUUUAAAAAAAUAAACUUAGCUAAAAAUAUGAAACAAUUAGGUUUUGAACUUGGAACCUUGAGUACUAACUAUUUAGGUUUUUAUCACCAGCGUUAGAGAUUUUCGGUUAAAGAAAAAAGGGUGAAUUGUGAAUUUCGAUUUUCAUAAAAUUUCAUAUAAUCUUAGACUAUGUUUAACGGCUCUCAUUAUCGACUUGGAUGCCCCAUUGCCAAAAACAACGUGGACGAAAACACCCCUUUUUUCACUUUUAAAAGUAUCCUAGCCUAGCUCAAGCUAAUUAAAUUGUCAUUAACCAUGAACUACUGCAAAAACAGCUCAUGAUGCAAAAGAGAUCAUGAUCGGUAUAAUCUAAUCCAUAAUGUCGGCGUAUCCAAAUUCUUAUCGUAACGAUCGAACAGAUUAAAGAGUGUUAUAAACUAUAAAUUGUUGAUAUUAAAGGUCUCAUUUAUAUGAUAGUAGUUAUUAUACAAAUCGCUCCGUGCUAUUAAUAGUGUCCUAACCCAGUUCUUUGGUCCUACUAUGAAAUAUAUAUGUUAAAUGAGUACUAUUGCUAGGUCUUCUAUAAAAUGCAAUCCUUACAAUUUUUUAAAAUACUUAUGUAUUUGUUGGCGUAAGAAAAAUAGUGCCAGCUGGUGCGUGUCUUGGCACGUGUGUUUAGGUGGUGUGGGCAAAUUAAGAUAUCACACAUGGUGCAUCAAAAGUCGCUAAAAAAAUAAGAGAAGCCAUUGGGCAGAAACGGAUGAGAACGUGGGAGUAAUUCACGCGUCCAAUAAAGAGACGUCUGUAACGUUCUCACGACGCGAUCGCACGAUAACUGUAGGUUGACAGGAGUACUGUAAAUAAUGCAAAGACGCCUGAACUAAGGGUCUCUCCCUCCAUAUAAACAAAAACCUAUUCUAUUUCCAGUCAUUUCUUCUUUUUUUUUUUCAGAAGUAUAAUACUUUUAUAAUCUUUUCCUUUCUACAUUUUAAGAGCAUUUUUAAGAGUAGAAUAGCCUAGUCUCAAUUAGGAAUAGCUUAGUUUUCCAUUCCUAUAACAACCAACACGGCUCGUUCAGCUGAGUUCGCCUUAAACCUCAGUUUGGCUUUUCAUAUUGAGGAAGAAUUUAGUUGAGCCGACCUCUUCUCAAUCAAAUCGCUUGAUUAUGGCGCACUCGAGAAUUAGUCUGAGAACCGAUCUAGAUCCAGAAGACUCAUUUGACUCGGUCAACGAUUUGACACGAUCAACGUCUCCACAAGUUCGGUUCUAUAUCCAACAACAUCUAAUGUGAAGUCUUUUAAUUAGUUUAUACAUAUAAUUGAAAAUUGUCACAUUUACUUGCUGACACAUCAUAACCUAAUAUCACCAUUAUGCUAUAAAAAACAGAAGGUUUCUCUAUGUUAACACCAAAUUAAAUUACAUAUUAAUCUCUAUUUAUUUUAUUUUUUCAAUUUAAUUAUUCAUACCUUAUUUUUUUUUAACUUUCAAGAAUUAUCUAAGGGUUCGUUUGAUUCAACGUAAAAUCGUGAAAUAUAAUUUUUCAUAUAAAAAAGAGUUUACGUUUUGUAGUGUUUGAUUUGUAAAAAAAAAAUUCGAUCAAUGUUUGUUUGGUUGAAAGAAAAAAAAUUCACAUUUGUCUGAUUCCGUAGAAAAAAAAAAUAGAUGAAAAAAAAUUUUACGUAACUUGAGUUUUUAUUUUUCGUCAAAAAAUAACAAAGCUAAAACUUUAAUUUUUUUUUUAAAUUUGUAAAACUAUUUUUACAAAAAAUAUUUUUACAUCAAAUUAAAUAAAUAAAAAAUAAAUUUAUAUCCAAAAUAAUUUCUCGUUUUGUUUUACGUCAAAACCAAACGCUUCCUAAUUUAGAGAUAUAUCUAUUUCCGCAUUCACAUGUGUUAAUUAUAAAAUAAACAAAAAUAACUUAUUUUCAAAUCGAUCUGUUUCCUCCUCUCUCUCUCUCUCUCUCUCUCUCUCUCUCUCUCUCUAUGAUGAUGACUUCUCAAAAAAGAAAAAAGAAAAAAGAAAACAGGGGGUGCAUAAUAGGAAGAGAACUAGGCUUGUGCUUCAUUAAAUUGGAGAGGGAUAUGAUUGAUGAGAGAUUUUACAGCUCAGUACAGAUCAAAUCAGUUAUCUGUAGCUCUUUCCACAUCAGUUGUCAUACCUCAUUAUCUAAUUAAAACAAAUAAAUAAAUGUUCCAAAUGUUCUUAAAGAAAAGGGAAAAUUUUAAAAAACCCCCUUGUGGUUUCACAUUUUUUCACUUUAGUACCCUGUGGUUUAAAAUGUAUCAAGUUAGUACCCCGUGGUUUCUCACUUUAUCACUUAAGCAUUCUGUGGUUUAAAGUGUAUCAAGUUAGUACCCUGUGGUUUUGCACUUUAUCACUUUAGUACCCUGUGGUUUUAAUUUUGUAUCAAGUUAGUACCCUAUAAUUUUUUAAAUCACAAGGUACUAAAGUGAUAAAGUGUGAAACCACAGGAUACUAAAGUGAUAAAGUGCAAAACCACAGGGUACUAGCUUGAUACAUUUUAAACCACAGGGUACUAAAGUGAUAAAGUGAGAAACCACAGGGUACUAACUUGAUACACUUCAAACCACAUGGUACUAAAAUGAAAAAGUGUGAAACCACAGGGGGGGUUUUUGAAGUUUUCCCUAAAGAAAAAUAUUAUCUAGGCAUCCAAAAAUAUAUAUAUAAAUUACAAAAACUUUAAAUACCACUAUUUUAAUUUCAUAUUUUUUUACCUUAGUAUUCUAUAAUUUAAAAUGUAUUAAUUUAAUACCAUAUGAUUUCAUACUUUCUCACUUUAAUACCAUGUGGUUUAAAGUGCAUUAAUUUAAUACCCUAUUGUUUCAUUUUUCUUUUUUUGUCUGCUCCUCUGUUAAUAUUUCGUUAAAUUAUAUACAAAAAACUUCAGAAACCCUACCUAGGUUUAUCGAAUAUUCACUUUAGUACCUUUUAAUUUUAUUUUUGAUACUGAUUUAACAAAAAAAAAUUAGUAAAAUAGAUAAUAAAAAGAGAAAAAUGAAACCACAAGGCACUAGCUUGAUACACUUUAAACCACAGAGUACUAAAGUGAGAAAUUGCGAAACUACAGGGGCUAACUUGAUACACCUUAAACCACAGGAAAUUAAAAUGAGAAAGUAUGAAAUCGCAGGGGGUAUUUGAAGUUUACCCAUAUAAAUUUUAUAUUUUUAAAAUUUAAUAAGAUAAGAAUUCAAUAUUGAGUGUUGGAUAAGAAAAUAUAAGAUUUGCAUCCUCUAUUUUUUGGUGUACAGAUAGUAUAUUUUGUUUUUAACUACUUUAAUUUGCUACACAGUAACAACUAAAAUUGUGCUAGAAUAUUUUUAAAAAAAUACCAAAUUUUUAGUAUGUUAAUAUAAUUUUGGUAAAAAGGAAUUUGAAUUAAUGGUUGAAAUUAUUAAUUAAACCUAAUCUACAGUAUUUAAUUUUUUUUAAAAAUUAUUUUUUUUAAUUUUUUGAUAUUAUUUACCUAGUGAUCACUAAAUGGUUUCAAAUUUACUCUCUAUUUACUACAAAAAUUAUUAAUUAUAAGAUUACUUGAAUAAUAAAUAAAUAAUAUUGAAAAUAAUUCCUAGCAAAUUUUUGAGUCAUAAAUCAUGUUUAAAUAUUUCGAUUAGGGGUGGAAACAAGCCGAGUUCGAACGAGCUUAUCUUAGCUCAAAUUCGGCUUUAAAUUAAUUUUAAAUUCUAAAUUUAAAAUUUUACAAUUUUAAAAUUUAUAAUAUUUAUUUUUAAAUUUUCAGCUUCAAAAUUAAAAUUUUAAAUACCUGUUUUACUUUCUCUCUUACUUAAUUUUCAUUUAAUUUAAUAUUCAUACAUUUUCUUUUUUUUUCUUCUCUUACGGAAAAGUGUGCAUGCCACUUUUCUCUCUCCCUUAGUUUAAUUUUUAAUUUAAUUUAAUGCUCUCUUUUUUUUCUUUCUCUAAACAAAAGAUAUGAAUAUUUAAAAUAAUUUUAAAUUUGAAUUUAAUAAUUAUACAUUUUUGAAAAUUCCAAAUUUUUAUUUUUCUAUAUUAUGAGUAAAAUAUAUUAUAUUUGAAAGUUUGAAAAUGCUCUCUCUCUCACUUUAAUUUUUAUGUAAUAUUCUCUUUUCUCUCUCCAAAUAAGAGAUAUAUAUAUAUAAAUUACAAGUUUCAUUUGACUCUAUUAAGUAACUUUACAUAAUAUACAACAUAAUAAGUGUGAACUUAAAAAUUGCACAUGUUACAAAGCAUUGGUACAUUGCUAGUAAGUAUAUAUAGAUCUAAAAAGGAACAUACACUUUUUGUAGAACGCAACGGAAGUAUUCAUUCGUACCUCUUAGCGGAAGCAUAGAACGCGACGAGCCUGGACUGUAGAGGUUCAUUAAUUCACGUGUUAGAACGCGACGAGCGCAGAUUGUAGAGAUUGAUUCACGUGUUCUCGGAUCAUUCUCGAAAGUCUUCUAUCGCUCUAAACUCGCGGUGGAUCAAACUACAAACGAGCACGAUUUUCAGUCCACCGUUCAAGACCCUCUAGAAUAAUAGGUUAUUGAAGGAUGUGGUUUAAUUCUACCUUUCUCUUUUGAUUUUUCUUGUUAUCUUUCUUAUUUCAUAUUAUGUGAGAUUGUCCGUAUAUUUAUAAGGGAUUCCGAAAUUCUAAUAGGUACGUAACAAAUAAGGCCAAAUCGAUUCAUACUUGUUAUCCUAAUAUACUUAGAAUUUAUCUCUAAUUAGCUUUCCAAUUUAAAAGUAAGAUUAAUUCUAAUCCAAUUAGACAACGUAAUAACCGUUGGAUCGAGCCCGAUUAUAGGCGCACCCGAUUCGAUUUAACCGAAUGCCAACACUUUUGAUAGUUUAAGGAUCUUAAAUAUCAAACAUAAAAGUUUGGGGACCAACAAUGAAGAUUGUUCAAAAGUGUAGGGACAAGUGGAGCAAUUUAGCCCGGUGCAGCAGAACUAAAAUGAAGCAUUUAUAAGAGUCAGCUAGUCUCUAACAUCAACCUUGAGAGCCUUUCUGGUUCGGCCCUUUUUCAUCAAGGAAUCGAAAUCAGAAUGAACGAAUCUGUUAGCAAGUACUUGAUGUACAGGAUUUUCAUUCCCAUUUUGAUUUAUGAAUGAAUGAGAAUUUUCCGGUCAUCCUUUUUUUCAAUCCGGCCUAGGAAGAAGGAUUAAUGGAAGUUGAAUUCCGGCGGAAAGAAUACACCUUACGAAAAUAUCUCAACUAUCGUUUAUAUUUUUAUUUAAAAUUUAAUUUAAUUUUUUGACUUUAAUUUUUAAUUAAAAUAUGAACUUAAAUUUAGAAAUGAAAUAUUUAAUUCUAGAUUUUAAUUUAGAAAUUAAAUUAAAAUAUAAGUUCAAUCAAGCAUUUUGAAUUUCAACUGUAAAUUUAAAUUUAAAUUUAAUUGUAAGUUUGAAUUUGAAUUAAAUCAAAAAUUAAUUUAUUAUUUUGAAUUAUCCAUUCAAUUUUGGCUUAUCAAUGCAAUAUUUAGAUGUAAAGUUUUAAAAUUUAACUUUAGUUUGAAUUUAAAUUAUAAAUUUAAUUUUAUGUUUUGAUGUGCAAACUCAAUUUUAAAUUAUUUUUAUAUUCUGUACUUAAUUUUAAAUUUUUUUUAAUUACUUUUUUUAUAAUCAAAAUUUUUUAAAUAUUGAAAGUAUAAAUUAAUCAUACUAAUUCCGAUUGUUAUUCUGAACCAAAUAUACUGGAGCUUUUAUCAUUCCGUUUUCGAUUUUCGUAUAUUAUGAUUUCUAUUCUGUUGAUGCCAAAACUAAAAUUAACACGCCGACCUAAUCCACGUAUGAACUAAAGAAAUAAGGACACGUGGUACACCAGGAGUCGGCAAUAAGGCGCCUGAAAGUUAAGAGCGUUUAAGCUGGAACGGUUGAGAAGUGGGGCGUAACUUCCAUGUGAAGUGGGCCGUAACUUUUAUGAGAAGUGGGGUGUAACUUUCAUGAUCAUGGCUACACCACUUCCCCUACUACGAUAACCAACCAAUAAUGUGGGCUGAUAAGAUAUUAUAAAUAAUAACUUUGAAGCCUGUAAUAGAGGUCUUUCUCUCCCCUGAACGAGAAGACCACCGCAUUUUCAAUACUUUCCUUUCCUCUAUUUAUCGCUUUCUAGGAGUAGUCUACAUAUAAUCUUUUUUACCCGCAUUUAUUGCUUUUCUAUAAGUAGUUUUUAAAUUAGAUCUCUGAAGUCUGUACGCCCCACAGGCACACUCUGUUGUAAUCUAGAUUUUCAGAGUCUAUAUGCCCUUUUGGCACACACUGUUUUGUAUGAGUUCCCAACUUCAUUUUAAUAUAUAAACGCAUUCAGCUCUUUCAACCGACCAAUUACUGUGUUUUUCAUCCAUUCGGCUCUUCAGCCAACCUUAGCUUUUGUACAGUCCGUACAUUCGGCUCAUUCAGCCGAACCGAAUCUACAGUAGAGUCUUUGAACUCGGCUGAUCCGAUCCCUCGUCAGCCGAAUAGCUUGAUCCAGUCG